AGCUCACAUGGUGCUUUCCAGGUUUUGCUGGAGGAACUCUUUGCACCUGCACUCCCUCAGCGGGCUGUGAUGAGGCUCACCUGGAGCUGGCAGCAGCUGGGUGAGGAGGGGCCGGGCUCUGGCUGCAGUUGGGCUGAGUUCCUGGGCAGGGGGCUGCUGUGUGUGCUGGCUCUGGGCUGAUCCUGCGGUGGCUGGAAUAUUGCUAACUAAGAAGCAGCUUUAGCGUGAAAUACUGCAGACAAAAACGUGAACUGGGGGUUUUAAGUGUUUUCACUCAGAAACCAGCACUGGGAGUAAGAAGUGGGCAUCAGUGUUCUUGAGACAUCUAUCAGUGUCUGCAGCAAGAUCCCAUCUGAUAAAGAAAUAGGAACACAAAUGCUUGGAUAGUUCCCAAAUAGGCCACUGGAACACUUGGAUGCCCUCCAGGAGGCAGAAACUGUCAGCUCUUCAACUAGGGUGGAUCACUGCAGCAUCGCUGUAGCCAAGGUCUCAGUAUCCUUUGUUAAAGUACUUUGGAACUGACAUUGUAACAAGGUUUAUUCCAUGAACAGAAAAGAAGACAACACUCCUGAUCCUCCUCCUCAUCACGUAUCAGCAAGAUUUCAGGGUGGCAAUCUUUGAAGAGAUUCUGAAACAUCAAAUCAGGAAACGAUGGGAAUAAGCUGAUUUCUUCCUGAGAUAACACUGAGAUCAUCGUUGCAUGUCUGAUGGAGAACAGAAAACGAGUGAGAAAGCUCAGGGCCUACCCUGCACCCUGUGCUUAGCAAGGGGCCACCAGCUGUGGAGCCGGCUGAUUCACAACAGGUGGCAGAAAACUAGUCUGUCCUAGUAAGAACCUCGCUAGCUGUGAGGUGGGCUUGAAGCAUCUGCUCUGCUGCAGAUGGGAGUGCAAAAGGAGUGUGGAGGAUGCCCUUCUGUGAAGCUUUUCCACUUCUCUGGGGAGGAGAAGGAGCAAAGCAAUGGUGCUGCUGCUGCGUGUGGGAGCGACUGGUCUGCUAAAGAAUUACAGCUUUCCAGUGCCAGCUCAAACACCGAGGAAUCCCUGCCACCAUAAAACUAUAAUUGCUGAAUUAAUAACAGCAGGUUCUGGAGAGUGACUGCAAGACUCUGUGACCCAGGAACAAAUUCUGCAGCUGGUGCCACAUGGCCCCACAGCUAUGAUGCUCCUCAGGACUGGGAUAAAGGGAUGCUCUUUAAACAGGAUAAUAGCAGAUCACAGGUCACUCAGAAUUGAAUAUCCUCAUCCCAAGGCUGUCAGCCACACCACGUCCUGUCCCUGCUAGCUGCCCGGCAACGAUGGCAACACGUCUGCAUGGAUGUAG